GGUGGUUGAGUUUUCCGGCCGGCACCCACACCCCGGUGGUUGAAAAUCACGGCGACGGCGGUGAGGGUUUGUGUGAUAUAAGAAGUGGGGGUUCUUUUUUUCUGUAUUUUUGGGGAUUUUGUGAUGUAAGAAGUGGGGGUUCUUUUUCUGGUUUUUGAUCUGGUCGUUAGUAGGUGGUUGGUCGGCGCCGGAACACGUUGGUGGGAGGUGGUUGGUCGGCGGUGGUGGCGGCGAAGGAUGGGGCGAAGGGGGUGGGUCAUCUGAUGGCUCGGGGGAGAGAGGCUGUGGGUGAUCUGCAACCCCAUCUCCGGUGUGUUUGUUGUUGAAAACAGAUUCAACAGAUUUUUUGGCAUUCACCCAAUUUUUGGCAUUCUGUUGAAUAUGUUUUGAUCUGGGGGUUUGAUUCAAUAAUAGACGCAUGUUUGGCAUUCACCCAUUUGAAUAUGGUGUGUUUCUUUGAAUAUGUUGAAUCUGUUUUGAUGAUGUGUCUGUUGAAUAUGUUUUAAUCUGGGGGUUUGA
rnacentral:lncRNA from 1 species